AGAGUUUGAUCAUGGCUCAGAACGAACGCUGGCGGCAUGCCUAACACAUGCAAGUCGAACGCUCAUGAGGGUUUCGGCCCUUGUGGGAGUGGCGCACGGGUGAGUAGCGCGUGGGAACCUGCCCUGUUGUGGGGGAUAACCGAGGGAAACUUCGGCUAAUACCGCAUGCGCCCCGGGCCUGGUCUUCGGAUUAGGUCUGGGGGAAAGAUUCAUCGCAGCAGGAGGGGCCCGCGUCGGAUUAGCUAGUUGGUGGGGUAACGGCCCACCAAGGCUUUGAUCCGUAGCUGGUCUGAGAGGAUGAUCAGCCACACUGGGACUGAGACACGGCCCAGACUCCUACGGGAGGCAGCAGUGGGGAAUAUUGGACAAUGGGCGCAAGCCUGAUCCAGCAAUGCCGCGUGAGUGAUGAAGGCCUUAGGGUUGUAAAGCUCUUUCGCCCGCGACGAUGAUGACGGUAGCGGGAGAAGAAGCCCCGGCUAACUUCGUGCCAGCAGCCGCGGUAAUACGAAGGGGGCGAGCGUUGUUCGGAAUUACUGGGCGUAAAGGGCGCGUAGGCGGCCCUUCAAGUCAGGCGUGAAAGCCCCGGGCUCAACCUGGGAAUGGCGCUUGGGACUGGAGGGCUCGAGUUCGGGAGAGGAGAGUGGAAUUCCCAGUGUAGAGGUGAAAUUCAGAUAUUGGGAAGAACACCGGUGGCGAAGGCGGCUCUCUGGACCGAGACUGACGCUGAGGCGCGAAAGCGUGGGGAGCAAACAGGAUUAGAUACCCUAGUAGUCC
rnacentral:rRNA from 1 species